rnacentral:misc_RNA from 1 species
GAACGACGCCCGGCGUCGCGACGACGAGGCGGGGCCGCCCCGCCGUCGGCCGACGCCGGCACGUCCCGAGGGAAGC